rnacentral:snRNA from 1 species
UACUCUUCUCGGCCAUUUGGCCAAGAUCAAGUAUAGUAUGUGUUCUUACCAGUUUAAUAUCUGAUAUGUCUUCUAUCUGAGGACAAUUUUUUUUUAAUACUUUAAGUUCUAGGGUACAAUGUGCAGGUUUGUUACAUAUGUAUACAUAUGCCAUGCUGCACCCAUUAACUCGUCAUUUACAUUAGGUAUAUCUCCUAAUGCUAUCCCU